CCUACGGGUGGCAGCAGUGAGGAAUAUUGGUCAAUGGACGAGAGUCUGAACCAGCCAAGUAGCGUGAAGGAUGACUGCCCUAUGGGUUGUAAACUUCUUUUAUAUGGGAAUAAAAUGUUCCACGUGUGGGAGUUUGUAUGUACCAUAUGAAUAAGGAUCGGCUAACUCCGUGCCAGCAGCCGCGGUAAUACGGAGGAUGCGAUGGUUAUCCGGAUUUAUUGGGUUUAAAGGGUGCGUAGGCGGACUGUUAAGUCAGCGGUAAAAGCCCGGGGCUCAACCCCGGCGCGCCGUUGAAACUGGCUGGCUUGAGUGGUGGAGAGGUAUGCGGAAUGCGCGGGGUAGCGGUGAAAUGCUUAGAUAUUGCGAAGAACUCCGAUUGCGAAGGCAGCAUACCGGCGGCGAUCUGACGCUGAGGCACGAAAGCGUGGGUAUCGAACAGGAUUAGAUACCCCAGUAGUC
rnacentral:rRNA from 1 species